CCUACGGGAGGCAGCAGUGGGGAAUUUUGGACAAUGGGGGCAACCCUGAUCCAGCCAUGCCGCGUGAGUGAAGAAGGCCUUCGGGUUGUAAAGCUCUUUCAGCCGGAAAGAAAUCGUACAGACUAAUACUCUGUAUGGAUGACGGUACCUUGAUAAGAAGCACCGGCUAACUACGUGCCAGCAGCCGCGGUAAUACGUAGGGUGCGAGCGUUAAU
rnacentral:rRNA from 1 species